rnacentral:rRNA from 1 species
AACGCGAAGAACCUUACCUGGGUUCGAAAUGCAGGUGUAAACCUCAGAGAUGAGGUCCCCUCUUCGGAGGCACCUGUAUAGGUGCUGCAUGGCUGUCGUCAGCUCGUGUCGUGAGAUGUUGGGUUAAGUCCCGCAACGAGCGCAACCCUUGUCCAUAGUUGCUAACGCGUAGUGGCGAGAACUCUAUGGAGACUGCCGGUGAUAAACCGGAGGAAGGUGGGGAUGACGUCAAGUCCUCAUGGCCUUUAUGUCCAGGGCUACACACGUGCUACAAUGGGCGGUACAAAGAGUUGCGAUCCCGCAAGGGGGAGCUAAUCUCAAAAAGCCGCUCUCAGUUCGGAUUGUUCUCUGCAACUCGAGAGCAUGAAGCUGGAAUCGCUAGUAAUCGCGGAUCAGCACGCCGCGGUGAAUACGUUCCCGGGCCUUGUACACACCGUAGUAC